GACGAACGCUGGCGGCGUGCUUAACACAUGCAAGUCGAACGGAAAGGCCCUGCUUUUGUGGGGUGCUCGAGUGGCGAACGGGUGAGUAACACGUGAGUAACCUGCCCUUGACUUUGGGAUAAUUUCAGGAAACUGGGGCUAAUACCGGAUAGGAGCUCCUGCUGCAUGGUGGGGGUUGGAAAGUUUCGGCGGUUGGGGAUGGACUCGCGGCUUAUCAGCUUGUUGGUGGGGUAGUGGCUUACCAAGGCUUUGACGGGUAGCCGGCCUGAGAGGGUGACCGGCCACAUUGGGACUGAGAUACGGACCAGACUCCUACGGGAGGCAGCAGUGGGGAAUAUUGCACAAUGGGCGGAAGCCUGAUGCAGCAACGCCGCGUGCGGGAUGACGGCCUUCGGGUUGUAAACCGCUUUCGCCUGUGACGAAGCGUGAGUGACGGUAAUGGGUAAAGAAGCACCGGCUAACUACGUG
rnacentral:rRNA from 1 species